GUGUCAUGCAAGAAGGAGGCGGCGGCGGCGGCCGGAGCUGGAGGGGGAGGAGGGGAGGAACCUGAUCCUCGGUAGCGAAGGGCUGGAGGCAAACACCGAGCUCCCCCUGAGCCGCCUGGGAGCAGGGAGGGUUCUGCUACCCUGAGGGGCCCUCCCCGCGGGGCAGAGGGGUUUCCUCAGCAGUGCCCCGGAGCAGGGACCGCGCCAGCCAGCAGAAACAGCUAGUUGUUGUCUGCAGUGAAGAAUAAUUGGAAGCAUGGUGCCUGUUUCUUUUCCUAGGAGCCAAGAAUAGGACAGCUUGGGAAGCUCAUCCUCGUCUACGGCCAAACGUUGGUUUCUCAUUUCUAGAAGAUGAAAGAUGUGAUGACUCAGGAAAAACUGGAAUCUUAGUAACUGUGGUGGGCAUUGAGCCUUGCCGUCCACAAGAGAAAGCUUGCUGCUCGAGAUGUGAGUCUUCAGAUGUUCCUGCCGCCAUAUCUGACAGCUGCUGCCAAGAUUCCCUGGUGGGAUGGACUCUUAUACCUCAACAACCAGAAGCCCAAGUAAACUCUUCUAUAAAUUGAAUGACUCAUGCUUAAAAAAAAAAACAAAAAACAAA
rnacentral:lncRNA from 1 species